ensembl:snoRNA U3 Small nucleolar RNA U3
AAGACUACACUUUCAGAGAUUAUUUCUAUAGUUUGUUACUAGAUAGAGAAGUUUCUCUGAAUGUGUAGAACACCAGGGACCAAGCGGGGGGGGGCGGGAAACCCUUAAUUUUAAAAGUGUUCAAGAUACUUUGAAAUGCCUGUCAGUUUGGU